GCUUAGAGUUUGAUCCUGGCUCAGAACGAACGCUGGCGGCGCGUCUUAAACAUGCAAGUCGAACGGUAGCACUUCGGGUGACGAGUGGCGCACGGGUGAGUAAUUCGCAGGGACCUAUCCUUGAGAGGGGGACAACGUCUGGAAACGGGCGCUAAUACCCCAUAAUGCCUACGGGUUAAAGGAUUUCCGCUGAGGGGUGGUCCUGCGUCCCAUCAGCUUGUUGGCGAGGUAACGGCUCACCAAGGCAACGACGGGUAGCCGGUCUGAGAGGAUGAUCGGCCACACUGGCACUGAGACACGGGCCAGACUCCUACGGGAGGCAGCAGUUAAGAAUCUUGCGCAAUGGGCGAGAGCCUGACGCAGCGACGCCGCGUGAGGGAUGAAGGCUUUCGGGUUGUAAACCUCGGUAGACUGGGAAGAACAGAUGACGGUACCAGUUUGAAGCCCCGGCUAAUUACGUGCCAGCAGCCGCGGUAAUACGUAUGGGGCAAGCGUUGUUCGGAAUUAUUGGGCGUAAAGGGCACGCAGGCUGUUUGGCAAGUUGGUGGUUUAAUCUUCAGGCUCAACCUGAAGCUCGCCAUCAAAACUACCUUACUAGAGUGUUGGAGGGGAAAGCGGAAUUCUUGGUGUAGCGGUGGAAUGCGUAGAUAUCAAGAGGAACACCAGUGGCGAAGGCGGCUUUCUGGCCAAUUACUGACGCUCAUGUGCGAAAGUGUGGGUAGCAAACAGGAUUAGAUACCCUGGUAGUCCACACCGUAAACUUUGUACACUAGAUGUCGGAUUUAUUCGGUGUCGCAGCUAACGCAUUAAGUGUACCGCCUGGGGAGUAUGCUCGCAAGGGUGAAACUCAAAGGAAUUGACGGGGGCCCGCACAAGCGGUGGAGCAUGUGGUUUAAUUCGAUGCAACGCGAAAAACCUUACCUACCCUUGACAUGCCUCGAAUCCUGCCGAGAGGUGGGAGUGCCCGAAAGGGAGCGGGGACACAGGUGCUGCAUGGCUGUCGUCAGCUCGUGCCGUGAGGUGUCGGGUUAAGUCCCAUAACGAGCGCAACCCUUGUCAUUAGUUGCCAUCAUUAAGUUGGGCACUCUAAUGAGACUGCCGGUGACAAACCGGAGGAAGGUGGGGAUGACGUCAAGUCCUCAUGGCCCUUAUGGGUAGGGCUUCACACGUCAUACAAUGGUCGGUACAGAGGGUAGCCAAGCCGCGAGGUGGAGCCAAUCCCAGAAAGCCGAUCGUAGUCCGGAUUGCAGUCUGCAACUCGACUGCAUGAAGUCGGAAUCGCUAGUAAUCGCGGAUCAGCAUGCCGCGGUGAAUACGUUCCCGGGUCUUGUACACACCGCCCGUCACACCAUGGGAGUGGGUUUCACCAGAAGUAGGUAGCCUAACCGCGAGGGGGGCGCUUACCGCGGUGGGAUUCAUGACUGGGGUGAAGUCGUAACAAGGUAACCAAGCC
rnacentral:rRNA from 1 species